AUGAAUGCCAACUGGACAGAGGCAAAUUCAACAUGAAGCGCUAGCGCGCUUCAUGGAAUUUGCCUCUGUCCAGCUGAAAGCCGUUCAAUGCUUAAAUAAAACCAACUAUCCCUGAAGAAUGAUCAAAUGUCCUGGUUACAGCUACUGAAUCAAAUAUAUGAUAGAUGUGAUUAAAAUAUCUUUAUAGCAAAUAUUUGACAAAAAAAGGUGUCUGAUUUCUUUUUGUUAUAUGGUAUCUACAGUUUGUAAUAAAUCACAUUACUCUAUAAAACCUCAUCAGUAAACAUGUAAAAUAUCUGCACCAAACAUAGUACACAACACAAUAUCUCUAGAUGGUUUAUUUCUCAAAUCUAAUACUCAGUAAGGUGUACUGGUGCACUUUAAAACACUUAUAUUACAAUCUGAAUUAUUGUUGAAAUCUGAAUUAUUGUUAAACAGUAAGAACAUUUGGCAUGUUUAUGUAUUGUUAUAGGGUAAACUUGGCAAAGUGACAACAUAACUGUAAGCUUGGCCAAGAAAUAGUUAGUGUGACACUGUACAGUGUCUGAUGCUCAGGCUAUUUAGUGGAACAAUAUUUAGCAUGACAAGUUGAUAUUUAGUAUUGCAGUGUACACAGUCAAGCUAUUUAGGUUAGCAAAUAAGUUGGAGCAGUAAUACGUUGUAGCAUGAUUAUUUAAGCUAUAUAUUUACUGUAACAGUGUAUACUAUUAAUGUACUCUAAUUAAGGUCAAGCUAUUUAGUUUAUCAAAACAGUAUUACAUGUAACAUGACCAAGUUACGGUUACUGUGUUUACCAAGUCAAGCUACAUUUAGGAACAAAAUAUUAACAUGACCUAGAAAAAAGAUACAUUUACAUGUAAUAUAAUGUUAAAUGCAGAACAAUAUCAAAAUGACAGAGUUAUAUUUUGUUUACAACUCAGUAAAUCAUGCUUUGAUCGAAGAAAUAUGAAUGUGACUGUUUAUUUGGCAUUAUUGUGUACACUGAGUUUGACAACUAUUUAGUGGAACAAUAUCAACAAGACCAAUUUAUAUUUAGCAUAGCAAUGUACACUCACUCAAACUUUUUGAUAGAACAUUUAUAUAUAUGUCGUUAUUACUACUUGACAAUUAUAUAUACAUGUAUAAGUUAUACCUCACAUAAUGGUGUACGUUUACUGAGUCCAGCUAUUUAGUUGACCGAUAAAUUAGGAGUCCAGCUAUUUAGUUGACCGAUAAAUUAGGAGUCCAGCUAUUUAGUUGACCGAUAAAUUAGGAUUCCAGCUAUUUAGUUGACCGAUAAAUUAGACCAAAUUUUUUCAACAGUUCUAAUAAUGUGUGUUUGGUAAUAUUUAUUGCUUAAACAAUCAAAGUUAAUCUGUAAAUACUGCAUACUUACAUUGCGUUUCCCUCGAAAUCCAUGCCGCGACUUUUUUUUUACAUAUUACUAUCAAAUAGCCUUAAACUGAUGUAACUUUCCUUGUAUAUAAUGAUAAUGCAGCAUCGAAAAAUUAUCUAAUUUUGAACUGUCACUAAAUUCAUCUUUGAUGUUCUUUUUAAUUCAGAGGUGUGUUGCAAAAGUACUGUAUAGUUUGAAGUAUUGAGAGUGAUAUAUGGUGUAUGUGUUGUUGACCUACUUAUACAAUUUGUGUGUAUUUACUUAUAUCUUUGUGUGUAUGUUUUAGAUAGAUAUAUAAUGGUCACUUUUUUACAUGCAUGAUAUGCUUUAGUAUCAUAUAUUAUAUUACUGUAAAUAUAAUGAUAAUAGAGGUGCUGUGUCACUGUAGUAGUUAAUAUUGUAGUGUGUGGAAAUGUUGUUUUAAAUGUUUUUGGAAAACAUAUAUUUACAUAUGCUUAUUUUAUUGGGAUAAAUUGUCUCCAUUCUUUUAACUCACCUAUCUACGCAAGUACCCAGAAAUCCAGUGUAAACCAUAGGAAUCUUUAGUAUUCUGACUACUGUUUCAGUUACCUCAUCUGGCGGGGUUGACCAAGUGCUAUUCAGUAGCCGAUUUUUGUGUAAGAUUUAAGUCAUAUUGAGUUUUAUGUAAAGACGAGACUUGAAAAUAUCUUCGACCUAUUACCAAUAUUAUGAUCGAGUUACCAAAAUGUUGGUAAUACACCAUUAGUAUUUUAACAUGACUCACCAGGUGUUCCCGACAAAGAGUAUUCUCGCUGGUCUUUUCUGAAUAGAGGAAUCAGACAUAUAACAGAAUGGGGGUAAAUAAACAGUUAUACAGUUUCAUGAUGUCAAAAUCAAACACAGUAAUAGCAGUAACUGUAAAGGUUAUCUUAUAAUAAAACUUGAAGGAAAUACGCUCAGUACCAAAAGGAAAUACAUUAAGUACCAACAGAUGAUAUUCACACUGUAAUUAGGACACAGUGACUUCUACUGAAGGCUGCUGUUAAUUAAUAUAAAAUGUCACUAAAUAUUGCUUCUGAUGUACAUGUAUUUUGCCAAAGAAAGAGAUUAAGAAAAGACGAAAUAGAUCAAAAUGUAUUUGUACGACAGAGAGCUCAUGGCACUGGGCAAGAAAUGUAGGCAAACUUCAUGUUGAUACGAAGACAUUAUGAUACAAAGCUUAUCAGAAUCAACUGAAGACUGUGUGCAUUCAGAGGUCGGGGCCACCAGCUCAGAUGUCAAUUUAUAUUUGCAAUGUAUAAGCCUAUAGGUUGUUUUGAUAUUUAAACUAUGUCACUUACCAAUGGCUAAUAUCACCUGGUCAUUACUUACCAAAGGCCAAGAUCACCUGGUCAUCAUCAAGAUUAAGUGGUUUAUUUGUAAAAUUUAAAUACACUCUGAAAAAAUUGUGAAGCAAUAGCAAAUUAUGAAGCAAUCAGAGUCAGAAAUGUAAUGACCUGCUUACAAUAUGUAGGUCAUGAAUGUAAUGACGUGCUUACAAUAUGUAGGUCAUGAAUGUAAUGACGUGCUUACAAUAUGUAGGUCAUGAAUGUAAUGACCUGCUCACAAUAUGUAGGUCAUGAAUGUAAUGACAUGUUUACAGUAUGUAGAUCAUAGAUGUAAUGACAUGCUUACAAUCAUUGUUUAAGAGAUUCCAUAAUAGCCUGGACAUCAAUCAUUUUUAAACCUCCAUCUAAGUAUUGUUGAAUAACAACAUCCUUUUUUUUUAUCUUAUUGUGCUGGGCUUAUCAUUCCAAAGAAAGUCAAAUAUCAUAGAAUUCAGUUGAACAAUGCAUCUUUACACUGAUCAAUAUUUUCUGAUGACAUGAUUAAACAAAGUUGUUCAGAACUAGAAAAGGAGUCAGUCUACUGACCAAACCUCAAGGUCAUCCGGUCAGAGGUCACGGUACAGGGUCAAGGUAAAAUUAUGAAAUGAUUGAAUUGAUUUUGAUGAAAUUUGGUCGAGAGUAAGAUCUAAUGCUGUAUAAACAGAAGAUGUGCGUCCCUUUUGGCCAGAGAGAGCUAGGGGGCUUGAUACGGGAAAUGUUGCAAAAAAAAAAUCUAAAUACUGUACCUUCUUCUCGUAGAAUGACAGGAUUUUGUUCAAAUUUAGUUUCAAUCAUAGAGUCAGAGAGCAAAAAAAGGUAGAAAAAGUUGUACUAUAACAAAAUAUUUUGCCAUGAUUACUGAAAUAUCCAGUUGAACAACUCUGGGCCUCUUGUUUUAGUGAUAUUUUACCUUUCUACAUUAUCUGGCUACUCAAAGCAGUUCUCUUUUUAGGUCAUCUGAAGAAGUCACAAGUGACCUAUUACGAUCGCCCUCUGUCUGACAUCGUGCCUUGUCUGUCAUGCAUCUUAAACAAUUUAUAUUUUCGACUUCUGCUCAAUAACCAAGAGGCCCAUGGUCAUGAUAUUGGGCCAGUAGUUUUCUGAGAUGAAGGGUAACAAAGUUGGUUCCAAUCAAUGACCUUGACUUACUUUGAAGGUCACAGGGGUCAAAUGUCUUAAAAUCUUUAAAUGGCUUCUUCUCAAUAACCAAGAGCCCUGGGUAAUUUACAUUCACUCUUCUGUAAACUAACCAUAGGACAUUUACCCUUUUGUAUACUUACCAUAGAACAUUUACCUAUAUAACAUUUACCCAUAGAACGUUUACCCUUCUGUAAACUUACCAUAGAACGUUUACCCUUCUGUAAACUUACCAUAGAACAUUUACUCUUUUGUAAACUUACCAUAGAACAUUUACUCUUCUGUAGACUUACCAUAGAACAUUUACUCUUCUGUAAUUUUACCAUAGAACAUUUACCCUUCUGUAAACUUACCAUAGAACAUUUACACUUCUGUAAACUUACCAUAGAACAUUUACACUUCUGUAAACUUACCAUAGAACAUUUACACUUCUGUAAACUUACCAUAGAACAUUUACUCUUUUGUAAACUUACCAUAGAACAUUUACUCUUCUGUAGACUUACCAUAGAACAUUUACUCUUCUGUAAUUUUACCAUAGAACAUUUACCCUUCUGUAAACUUACCAUAGAACAUUUACACUUCUGUAAACUUACCAUAGAACAUUUACACUUCUGUAAACUUACCAUAGAACAUUUACACUUCUGUAAACUUACCAUAGAACAUUUACUCUUCUGUAAACUUACCAUAGAACAUUUACUCUUCUGUAAACUUACCACUAAACGUUUACCCUUCUGUAGACUUACCAUAUAACAUUUACCCAUAGAGCGUUUACCCUUCUGUAAACUUACCAUAGAACAAUACCCAGAGAACAUUUACCCUUCUGUAAACUUACUAUGGAACAUUUACCCUUUUGUAAAAUCUAAAUUCCUUUGUAUUUAGUAUUUCAGAUCAAUUGUACACCAUCGAACAAUCAUCAUAGUUUGGCAUGAUUUUAAAACAAUAUGAUUGUUAAAUUCUAACAUAUAUUUAAGCUAUAAUGUAUUCUUUUUAUGACUUAUUUCCACAUGUAUUCCGUUUGGUAUUGAAAUAUUUCCUUUGUCAGUCGGGGUUGACAUGAUAUCAGGAUGUUUUAAAUGAAUAUCACUACCACUACCUCCAAAUUAUAUUGGAUCUACGGUACUCUACACAUUUCAUAGAAAACUUACGCCACAAACAUGUAUUUAAAAGACUUGAAUUAGGUAAUAAAUUGCAUAUUGUUACCAAAGACUUAUAUUUAAUAGACCAUGGACAUGAACGUCAUUUCUAAUAUAUUGUUACACAACACUUUUUUAUUCUGUUUAUUGUUUAUAGAAAUAGUUCGUCGUUAUUUCAUACUUUACAAGUCUUUUUAUUUCUGUUAUUUAUUUAAUAGAGUAUUAUCAUCAACAGUCGUAAAGCCUUUUUCAUUAAGAUAUGCAUGCUUCAUCUUAACGGACCAUGAUAUACUAAACCAUGUAUAACUUGUUGCCUUACUGAAUUAUAUAUUAUUUUCUUGGCUGUAACGUGCUAUACCGAAAGGGAUUGCACUACGCUGUUCGCAUUAAUUGAUGUAGUAUAAAAAUCCCAACUGUAUAACGUAAGACUCUGCUUGAAUAAACAGUGCCACAGUGUUUUAUAUUA